GACGAACGCUGGCGGCGUGCUUAACACAUGCGAGUCGAACGGAAAGGCCCUGCUUUUGUGGGGUGCUCGAGUGGCGAACGGGUGAGUAACACGUGAGUAACCUGCCCUUGACUUUGGGAUAACUUCAGGAAACUGGGGCUAAUACCGGAUAGGAGCUCCUGCUGCAUGGUGGGGGUUGGAAAGUUUCGGCGGUUGGGGAUGGACUCGCGGCUUAUCAGCUUGUUGGUGGGGUAGUGGCUUACCAAGGCUUUGACGGGUAGCCGGCCUGAGAGGGUGACCGGCCACAUUGGGACUGAGAUACGGCCCAGACUCCUACGGGAGGCAGCAGUGGGGAAUAUUGCACAAUGGGCGGAAGCCUGAUGCAGCAACGCCGCGUGCGGGAUGACGGCCUUCGGGUUGUAAACCGCUUUCGCCUGUGACGAAGAGUGAGUGACGGUAAUGGGUAAAGAAGCACCGGCUAACUCCGUG
rnacentral:rRNA from 1 species